AUGAAGGUUGCUCUUGGGGCUGCCAAGGGGCUCGCGUUUCUCCAUAGCGACAAGGCCCAUGUCAUCUACCGUGAUUUCAACACAUCAAAUGUUUUUCUUGAUUCCAGCUAUAAUGCAAAGCUGUCCAAUUUUGGGUUGGCGAGGAUGGGUAUGAACACAGAUGGACAUACAGCCCCUGAAUAUCUUGAUACAGGAUAUCUGACGAUGAAGAGCGACGUGUACAGCUUCGGUGCGGUGCUGCUGGAGAUUCUAGCAGGCCGGCCAGCCCUAGACAAGAACCGGCCCUCCAUCGAGCAUAACCUGGUGGAAUGGGCGCGGCAGUACCUGACGAGCAAGAGCCGCAUCUCUCACAUCCUAGAUGCGCAGCUGGGCGGCCAGUACCCCCUCGCCUGUGCGCAUCAGGCUGCCGCACUGGUGCUCCAAUGCAUCUCCGUCCACCCAAGGGACCGCCCGGGCAUGGAGCAGGUGGUGGAGGUGCUGGGGCAGCUCCAGGACGCCAACGAGACUGGGGCGAGCAGUCAGGGUGAUGUACGGCCGGGUAUGGAGCAGGUGGUGGCGGUGCUGGGCCAUCAGCUCCAGGACAACAAGGAGACCGUGGCGAGCGGUCAGCAGAAGGUGAGUGGUGGUGGUGGCGGUGCCUGUGGCUUCUUCAGGAUGUGUGGCGGUGGCCGGCAGCAGCAGCCAGUGGCGAGGCGGCUGCGCGCCGAUGAGCAGAGAUGA
rnacentral:rRNA from 1 species